GGAAAGAAAUGUGACUUCAAGUAGUGCUCUGGGUAGGCAGCCUAUUGAGAAAUAGGUGGUGCCUUCCCCUGGCCCGUGCUUUGAAUAAUUGACUAAAAUGUGAGACCCGUGGGUCAAGGGCUCUGCUGUGCUCAGCUCUGCGCCCAGGCUGCCUGUGCUUAAAGGCCAGCUCCCCCAUUUGCUUCUUCCUUGCUUCACCACUGCCUGCUUACCCAUAGAAGGGGGAUGUCAAUGGCCAAGCAGAAAUGGACAACUACCCUAUGCUUUCGUAGAAUUUGGCUCAUGGAUUGAUCUCAAGGCACUACGCUCAGAAGGACUUUGACAGGAGAGUCCAGAGGUGAGGUCCAAAUCCAACAGAAGUUGUUUGUAGUUUUCGCAGCAAAUCACCUGUCACCGUGCAUCAGGAAAGUGAGCAGCCUCACAAAGCAGGCGCUUCACUCCCAGGGACUCAGUGAAAGGGACAAAAGUGAACUAGGGCGACUUCUUUCCACCCCUGCCCCACUGAUGCCCCAAUGCCUUACAGAAGAGAUGUUCCACCUCGGUUUCCUUCAGAAUGCAAAGAGGCCUCCAGCUGUGAAAUGGAUUGUGCUCUUCAACUCUGCAACUGGAACAGAAGCCAGUCGUUUUGAGAAAACUGGUCAAGAACUUUGCCUCUCUGCUUGGCAGCUUCUUGUUCCUCCUCAGCUUACGGAUUCCAUUUAACAAAAGACUCAUCACACCCCAAUUGGAGUGUGAGUGUCAGUGUGCAUGCCACCCAUUGGAGGUGACCUGAGCCUGUGAGGGAAAAUUCCAGAAAUUCAUUUAUUUACAAUUCUUUAUAGCUUUAAGCAGAUAUCAGAACCAUGGCAAAUAGUCUUUGGGCAUGGAUAUGCGUAUCUAUUUAUUUAAAUUUGUUUUAAUUGUUUUAAAGAUCUUACUUUGUUUUGGGUUGUUGCUGUUGUUGUGUUGUGUUGGUUUGGUUGGCUUUUGGUUUUUAGAGACAGGGUUUCUCUAUGUAUCCCUGGCUGUUCUGGAACUCAAUCUGUAAACCAAGCUGGCCUUGAACUCAAAGAUCCACCUGCCUCUGCCUCCCAAGAGCUUAAAGGUGUGUGCCACCACCUCACAGGGCCCUGAACUCACUGUGUGGCUUGGGCUAGCUUUAAUUGCAAGAUCGUCUUGCCUCUACCUUCCAAGUUUUGGGACUAUAAGUGUGUUUCAUCUCCACACCUGGAUGGCUAUAUGUCACCAAUGAACAAGCAAAUUCAGUCUGCAGCUGGCCAUUUCUGAAUGCAGAGUUGUGACUGCGGGGCACUUGCUUUUUGCACUUCAACUUAAAUGCACAUUUCUGAUUCAAC
rnacentral:lncRNA from 1 species